GAAGAGGGGAAGGAGGAAGGAGCCACUAGCAUUUUCCAGAACAGUCCUCCCAAGAUAAAUGUUAUUAUCACCAAGGAAACCUUCAGUCCUAGACCAGAGUCUUCCAGUCCAGUGCCUGCAAGCAUAAGAAGGAUCUCUCCAACCUCUUCCCAUGUCACCUGGCAACAGGAAGUCUAAAACAUGUGCUGCCCACAGCAAAGAACCUGAACUUGGGUUUGGACAUGGUGUGAGAGCACUCUCCCUCACCUCCCACCUCUGCCGCAGUCUCCAGCACGUAAAUGAGAAACUGCAGUUGCAGAGGCAGGGAGAUUGGACAAACUGACGCAUCUUGAACAUCAGCUUCCUUCUGAAUCUGCAAGUCCUCAAGAAGAUGCAUCUGUUGCCGCACGUCAAAGGGAGGAGGGGGCAUUCAUGGGCCCUGGUGUGUUUGCUAGGCACCCAUAGGCGCCCAGAGAGGCCGUGCAUAGCAGCGGUUCAGCCAAGCUGGAGAAUCUGUAGCCCCUACAUGGGCCCCAGGGGUCUGGAAUUACGUGGGGGAGUUCCUUCAACCAGCCUGCGCACGGAAUCCUCCCCAUCUCCCCACCCCCUCCAGACCCGUUCUCCUGAAACCUAACCACGUUAGUCCCAGUCAGAUGUAUUUGUGCGUGCUAAGUCGCUUCAGUCAUGUCUGAGUUUUUACAACCUUGUGGACUAUAGCCCACCAGGCUCCUCUGUCCAUAGUAUUCUCCAGGCAAGAAUACUGGGUUGCCAUUUCCCUCUCCAGGGGAUCUUCCCAACCCAGGGAUCAAACCCAUGUCUCUUAAGUCUCCUGCAUUGGCAGGUGGGUUCUUUACCACUAGUACCACCCGGGAAGCCCAUUCGGUCACACCAAAUAAGAAAGUCCCCUUGACAGUCCCACUCCCGCAACACGCACACACACACACACAAUCUCACCAUCACACACGGCACAGAAGUGUCAGCCCUACAAG
ensembl:lncRNA